rnacentral:RNase_MRP_RNA from 14 species
CGAUGCUGCGAGGAAAGUCCCCGUGCCUUGGUGCAGAGAGUGCGGG